rnacentral:tRNA from 1 species
AAAUGUAAAAUUUAUUUUUACAGAUAGUAAUAAUGCAAAUUAAUGAUUUUAUUUUUAUUAUAUUGGAGAGU